GGGAGUUGUAGUUGCAUAUCUCCAGCUGUUGCAUAACUACAUCUCCCAGCAUGCCCUUCGGCGAUCAGUACAUGCUGGGAGUCGUAGUUUUGCAACAGCUGGAAGCACACUAGUUGGAAAAUACAGAGUUAGGUAACAUCUCCCUGACGAAGGAAGCCGUGCUUCUGAAACGCGUUGGAGGUAUCUUGGAUCUAAUCCUGUACCGUAGUGACGUCACGACAUCGGUCUCCAGCAAACCGCGAACCGGGGCUACCACGGUAGAGAACGCCACCGGCCGGGGCGUACUCCCGCAAUCCCCAACUAGGAUCUUCGGUAAAAGGAUACGCACUCUCCGCAACAUCUCAGAACAAGAAGAAGUGCGGGCAUCACCGCCAAGAAAAACAAUCACACAAAAAUGCAAGCAAAACGCAAGUAAAAUCUUUAAAGUGAUUGCACUAUAAGUCCAAUAUUCUGCGCACAUCCAUAGUGCCACCAGCCAACAAGGAUUUCACCACCAAUAAUAUACUAAUACAGCUAAAUUCCUGGAACACGCUGGAACCCAGAUAAAUAAGCAUACCUACAGUGCACCCUAAAGAACAACUUAAAGAAUGACCCUGCAAACAAUUAUACCACACUUACAGUUUGAUCUUCUUCUUUUAGCCAGCCAAUCAGAAAGCAGCACUACUCAAAUAGAACUCCCGUGAGGUCACACAUGUGAUGUCAUAACCAUUGUCAUCGGUGAGGGGCCUAAACUGUAGGAAUCUAGGAAUGCAAAUUCAUACCCGCCUGUGACUGAUGCACACCUUCCAGGCUGUGGGGCAGCACAUACACGGAUGGACACAUUGGCCCAAAUUCUAGAGGUAACCUCCUUUAGUAUGCCCAGAGGAAGGGCAGUACAGUAGCCAUGGAUUCCCUACAGGUUUCCUCCCCUCUGGAGGUUUUUCCUGUCCUGAGUUAGUUACUGUCCGCUCUUUGUGAGUGAUGGAGGUUACAUAAAACCCCUACACAAACAUUUUACUAAAUAAUAAAUAAAGUUCCCCUUUGUUUAAACUGUUCUUUGACUUGUUUGACUC